CAAAGGAGAUCUAGGAAAUACAGAUAUAUUCAUCAACUCAGGCUCCGAUGCAGUCACAAACAAUACCGAACUCUCAGCGGUUUGCAGUGUAGGUUUAUUUCUUUUCACCCAGUGUGCCCACUGUGUAGUUCUGCUCCUUUUCAUCAUCAUAACUGGACUCAGGCUGGGGGAGCAUUCUUUAUCUGUGAAAUUGCCAGACUCGUGGCAGAGGGAAAAGAGAUGAUAGAACUCUCUCUUAAGUUUCCACCUUGGAAUGUCACAUGCCAUUGGCCAAAGCAAGUCACACGGUCACUUCUGAGUUUAACAAGGCAGAGAUGGAAAAUCCUCCCAUCGGAUGGGACAUCACAACUCAUAACCAAGCCUGACAUCAAUGGGAACAAGAAUAAACUCAGACUUAAAUGACGCAGGACUUUUGUUUGCAAGUGACAGAAACUCUACAUCAACUAUCUUAGGCAAAAAGAAGAAUUCACUGGCAGAAGAGUGAAAACCACAGGACUCAUUCCCUCUGUCUCUGUUUCCAGCAUUCUCCGCAAGCCGGAACUCUGGUUACCAACGCCCCCAGGCUUCCCACACGAGGGCUGAUCCUUCCGCCUUCAGCUCCAAGUGAGAUACUCCCAAGAAGUACUUUGGCUGCAAACAACACAAAAUCUAAUUGUCAGCAACUUAAUAGGGGAUUCUUCUUUUCAUGGAGCAAGAUGUGUAGAGGUAGACGGUUCUGUAGCAGAUUGGUGCCAUGGUUCUGGCAAAUAAAAAAGGAAAGAAAGCUUUUAAGGAAGCCACACUGACAAACUCAAAAUAAAAAAGUGACCACUGAUAAGCAACAGAGGAGGCAAAAAACCCAAACGGCGAUGAUGAAGAAAACCUUGAAAAAAGUCAUAAACAUGCAAAAGAAUAUUGGUGUUUUAUCUACUCUGUGGAACAGUAAAUGGACUGAGGUUCACAGCCAAAAAGGAUAGUUAAAAUUGCAUUCAGAGUGCUCUUUACAAGGCAAGGCAAUGAAUAAUUUAUUUUAUGCCGUUAUAUUCUUUCACGCAGUAUUGACUGAGUAUGAUUAUUUCUUAUGUGUAAUAUAUUUUAGAAAGAUUUCCCAAUAAGUAGGCUUAAAACGAUGAAAAGAGUUGAUUCUAAAAGCUCUGGGGAAUUUCACUCUCCAAACAGCCAUUUUCCAUGGAGUUUCAGCCAAGAAAUUUCCUGCAGCAUACCGAUUGGGUGGCCAGAGGGAGUGAUGUCUCUGCCUCUCCGCACAAGGGGGCGAUGUUGACCAGCCUUUGCUUCUAAUUCAGGCCAGCGGCGCUCUGUCUCCAGAGUACACUUGCACAGUCACUCACCAUCCAUCCUGGAGCUGUGAUGGAUUAAGCUGGGAGGCAAACGUUAAGGCUUUUAUCCAUCCUCCUAGAACUUUUCCAGAAAUGUUAGAGGUGAGCUGGAAUGGAAGCAGUAAGAAAAAAAUCCUUUUCCAGGAAGAAAGGCAUUUAGGAAAUUUUCUACAAAAGUAUAAUAACUAGCAAACAUAUCGUUCAUUUUUUAUUUCAUUUGUCUAAUUAAUAAAUAGUACUAUCCCAGCUGUGGCAUCAGCUAACCAAGCUAUUACUCUGUGUUAUGUGUGUGUGCGUGUGCUCUUGGAAUAAACUAACAGUAUUGAAUAAAGUUUUUUUUUUUUUUUUUGCUUUGUUCCAGAUGCUUAUAGUCUAAUGAAUCCACUAAUUCUUAUAUAUUUGUAAUUUUAUUACUGUUGUAAAUGUUACUACUCCAUUUUAAAAAUUCACUGUCAUUUCCUCCUCUAUUCUUGUUUUUUCUUUUUCCCUUUUUGGUCUUAUGUACUGUGGUAGACAGAAUAAUGCCCUCUGAAAGAUAAUCAUGUCUUAAUCCACAGAACCUAUGAGUAUAUCAUGUUACAUGGAAAGGGGAAUUAAGUUUGUAGAUAGAAUUAAAGUUGCUAACCAGUUGACUUUAAGGAGAUUAUCCUGGAUUAUCUGGUGAGCCAAAUAUAAUCACAGGAAUCCUUAAGUGGGCAAGGCAGAGGCAAAAACGUUAGAAAAAAGAGAACUGGCUUUGUGAGAAAGACCUGCCGUUGAUGGCUUUGCAAAUGGAAGGGAGCACAAGCUAAGGAAUGUGGCAGCCUCUAGAAGCGUGAAAAGGCAAGAGAGUGCGGUCUCUCCUAAAG
ensembl:lncRNA